AGCAGUACUAGAAGAACUCAUUAGUCAUUAUGCUGCUGAGAGAAAGAAAAGAACUCAACUAUUUGUACAAUCAUUGAUCAAGAAAAGAAAUAACUAUCUGGAAACAGUUUAUAAUGUGAGAGUCAACAUGGUCAAGUUAUGAGAGAUGAGAUGAUGAAGACUCCAUUUGAUAUUGAUUUGAGUGUUUUUGUUGCUAUGAGUGACUCCAUGCAUGCUGUAAUAGAUUAUGUUGCACUCCAAAAUAAUGUUAUAUACAAA